rnacentral:rRNA from 1 species
UACGAAGGGGGCGAGCGUUGUUCGGAUUUACUGGGCGUAAAGGGCGCGCAGGCGGCGAGUUUUGUCAGGCGUGAAAGCCCCGGGCUCAACCUGGGAAUUGCGCUUGAAACGGGCUUGCUAGAGAUCGGGAGAGGAGAGUGGAAUUCCCAGUGUAGAGGUGAAAUUCGUAGAUAUUGGGAAGAACACCAGUGGCGAAGGCGGCUCUCUGGACCGAUACUGACGCUGAGGCGCGAAAGCGUGGGUAGCAAACAGG